GGUCACCCCCAGCCCCUGCACAACCAAGCCGGCGCCUCAAGGAGACAUGGAAUCCCGGCGCCCGCCCCCUGCGCGCUGCGGCCUUUCCCUGCCCACGCUCUCACUGAGGCACAGUCCAACUCCCCCUGCUCCAGCCCGGUAGUUCCAAGAUGCCUCAAUCAAGAUCAGGGACCCCAUGUGCUAACUGCUGUCUCUACACAAAAGGACCCUUUCCUAAACCAGCUUUUGGAGACAAAACAGGACAAUGGACAGCCUCCAGAAUUGUACUGUAACAAUAAAAAAAGCCAAAAUGGUUUACAAACCACUACUACUUUCUUGAUUAAAUGAAGAAUGAUAUUAACUGGAUGCAUUUGAAUAUAUGAAUAAACAUUUCUCUUAACGAUCAGUUUAUGGACAGGACACUCUUAAAUCAGCCUGUAAACAUUCUAAUGCUUGUGGCUCAUGCAUUAGUCCUCAAUGUUUCUGUCUCUGUACCAAGCCUCACUGAAGUGGGAUUGUGAGACCUGACAGCUUGAUAAUGGUUGUGCUAAUGUAUUACUAAUAAUAACUGGAUGGGAGAUGGAAACUCCUUGAGAAAGUCGAGAGUCUCCCACCAGGAAAUUAGAGCAAUAGAAGUUAGAAAAGUAGUACCGGUAUAUAUCACAGUUAAAUACCAGACUAGAGUUGUGUGGCCUAUAAAAUGGAUUCGGAACACACCUCACUUCAAGGGGUGAAAAGGCAAUUAGUCUUCAUGUCAUUGAUUGUAAUAUACACAAAUAGGGAUUUAACCCCCUUCUUUGCCUUUGAAUCAUACAAAAUAUCCACAACUGAAAUUUCUAUGUAGUAUUGUACACAUAAUACUUGACUUGUCUGCCUAAAGAAAUCAGGGUGAGUUUCAUAGUGCUUGCUGUGUUUUUAGUCUUCUGUCAGCACUACAGGCUUCUUUUUAAAAAUUGCCUUAUUUCACAAUGGUCAGCACUAAACAAAGAAACAAACUAACAGCCAUACCAUGUGAACUAUUUAUAAAAUCUUUAUUUGCCUCAUGAUCGUUUCUCUUCCAUUAUAUUGCAGAAUUGAUGGCUCAGUGUCAGCUAGUCAUCACAUAUUUUUACUAAUAGAUGGUAAGCAGUCAGGAAAAAAUGAGAUUUUGGAACUGAAAAAUGACUAAAACAUUUAAAAGUGGCUAUUUUAAAAUAAAAUGACUUUCAAAAGUUACUUUUGGACCCAGAGUUGUGGCACUUUAUACUACUUCUUUAUACACACAAUUAUUCUUGUGUACAUUUCCCCCAUCCCUAUAUAUGUUUUAUAUUUUGAAUAUUCUUUUAGUUUUUUGAAUUUUAGAAAUUUUAGUACUGAUUUUUAUCAAUUUAUGAGCCAAGUGUAAAAAUAAAACAAUUGAUUUUUUUCCUGACAAAAUCUGAAGUAAGAUGUGUGUACCUGAUAGCAGUGUUUGGUCAUUGAUGUCUUUUUUUUCUGAUAUAGUGUCAUAUUCUUUCUUUACUUAUCAGUGUAUUAGACUAUUCUGCUUUCAGUUACAAAUACAGAAUAACUCUAUCCACAUGAUCACAGUCUAAAAGGCUAUCUACCUCUUCAUACUCUCACCCCCUGACAUUUGCCAAGAACACACAUUGAUAUCCAUACAAGAUCCCUGUGUGGAAUAAGAAAGUGGGCCGAAAUUCUGCUCUCAGUUACUCCAGAUUUAUAAGUGUACUGACUUAAACAGAGAUACUGUGGAUCCAUUCCAGGAUAACAGCAGGCUUCAAUAUUAGGUCAUAUUUGAAUCUGUGUUUUCACUUUGAGGAAAAAGGGCCCAGGUUAUAAAGCAGAGGAAGUCCCAGUGCUGGUAGGAAAAUUGCUAUCAAAGAAAAAUUUUGACAAUUGGAAAACAGAAACAUUCACACUUCUUUUCCUACCAGCUGUAUUUGAUAUCCUCAAAGUCUGAAUCUCCAGAAUUUCCAAGUAGUCUGCGUUUAAUUUUUUAACCUUACUAAACCUCCUCUACUCACACUGCUUUUCUUUCCUCACAGGUCCCAAUGACCCCUCAAUUAUUCCUUCCCUCUCCUUCAUUAUUUACCCCUCUUUCCCUCCCUUAACCACUCCAUGCUUCUGGUACCCUCCCCUCUGGUUCACUCUUCAUUUCCCUCUCCCCCUUUCAUCUGCAUUUCAGUAAUUUGCAUGGUGAUAGGACAAGUAAAACUACCUCAGAUUUGGGGCACCCACUCCCCUCAUGCCCUUCCCAUCACCAUCACUGCAGAGUUUCAGUGAGCAAAAGUAAGUAAUACUCUUUAACUACUGUUGAGUUUUGUUUAUCUGCUGUUGUCCAUGGCUUGCAACAACACUGAUGGCCCCAGAGCUCCUGGGCCAAUGUAUUUACCGUUACCUGAUGUAGCACUGAUGUAGAUCAGUGACACAUUUGCAGGAGGACAGAAAACUCAAGCUCAGGAAUUCAAACUUGGCAAGUUCCUAGUCCUCAGUAGGGAUGAAUUUUUUGCAAAGUUUGAAAAAAAUCAGUUAAGGAAACAGACAUUAUGAGUAAGUAAACAUAACAUACUUUGCCUCUGCAGUAUACUUUCCCUUUGAUUUAUCUGCAUACAGAUCUUCAUCUGUGCAUGUUUACACAUUUUCAAAUUAUGCACACAAUAAUCACCUCAAUCCCUCUGUAAAAAGAUAUGCCACAAAACCACAUAACAAUCAUGUAAAUAUGUUAAAAAUUGAGCUCCAAAUGUCAGUACUAACAUUUUAUUGAGGGCUUUGACCAUUACAGUACAAUAAAAACUAAAAUGUAUGCCAUCUGAAUCAAGUUGUGCUUAUUUUGGAGAGGAAAGUAGUGACAUUUAAGACAUCUGCUACUACUGUACAGGAUCAUAAAUACGCAAAUGAGUCACAAAUUGUUUCAGUUCAGGCUGAAAAAGAAUUUGAUCAGAAAAGAUGGACAAUUUUUAUUAAAAUACUUGAAACAAUGAUGAGUUGCAUUCAUGGUGGGAGUUAAUAUACUUAUUUAACCAUAAACAAAAAAGUUCAAACUAAAGGCACUGUUUCCUACCUGCUUUUCUGGCCAUAUACUAAUAGCACUGGAUAAGGGGCCAUGUGGAGCACAAUGCCUUCCACAGCUCCUUGGGAUCAAGGCUACACAACCAUACUUGAGCUCCCCCAACUUACACCAGCAAAGAAUUUGGUCCUUAUAUAGCAUUGUACGCUUGUGAGGUCUGUCAGUGUAUGAUCCCUGUCUCAAAGAGCUUGUCAUUUAAAGGCAAACACCAGUACAAUACAAAACCACAGAACAAGUUAUACAAUACAGGGUGCAUGUGAUAUUAGUUACGUGAAACUAAAUAUUUUAUUUUUACUAGUCUAUCAGGUGUUGCUCUUAUUGAUAAUUUAGGGAUCUGAAGCCAAAAUUCAGUUUCUGCAGUUGUGACACUUGCAGCUUGGUACUCAUUAAAUUUAAUCUUGACUUAGGAGACAAAAGCUGUUCUGCAUUGUUUCAAUGGAGCUCAGACUUGUAGCUUUGCCAAAUACUCCCUGACUACUGUAGAUUUUCCCUAUGUAGUGAAAAUGGCCCUCAUGAACAUCUGAUUGAUUCAGUUAAGCAUGCUUUAAGAGAACUGUGUCAUAAAUGGGUUGAAGUAUCUCAAAGAGAGUGAUAGUUUGCUCCUGCUCUUGAAUAUGAUGAUGACAUAUAAAAAAAUGCUUAAUUUUCCUUUUUAGGCUUGCACAUCCUCUGCUGGCACACACCUAGGGGCUGAAUUUUGAUGGUCACAACUCACUUAAACUGCGCUAUUGUAAACUCCAGUAGACUAGCUAAAAUCAGAUUUUUUUUCCUCUUUGAUUUUGCCUUUGGUUAUGCCCCACAAAAAAACCUCUUUUCUCAUGUCUUUCCUAUUUGCACUGUUUAGUCUCAUUUGGAAAUUUCAGUAGUUAAAAUCAAGCCUAAGUGUGGGUGUGAGAAAGUGUUUCAAUGCUGGAAUAAGUUGCAAAGGCCCAUGGUCUUAAGCUAACUCAAAAUAAAUAAAGGAUAAUGCUAUCAUAGUUCCAACCAACUUCCUUGUGGGAACAUGCCAGCUGCACAGAUGGACAGGAUCAUAGUUGCAAUAGUUCAAUGAAAUAAGCAUAAAUCUUCAUAUUUCACAGUUUUAUGAACAACGGGGCUUCACAAUUGCCAUGUUUAAUAUUAAUCUAAAUUAUACAUAUUUUACAGUCCAGCAAAA